GUAUGUGCAUGUGUGUUUGUGUGUGCGUACAUGUACAUGUGUGUAUAUGAAUAUGCAUAUACAUGAGAGCAUACAUAGACACACGUGCAUGUGC
ensembl:miRNA Mir466n microRNA 466n